CAGGAGGCUGGGGUGGGGGCUGGAUGUGGAGUCCUCCGAGGUCGGGAGGCUGGGCUCCUCCUGUUCGUCCAUAUGCAUUUCUGGCCCCUUCCCCUCCAGCCCUGAGGGAAGCCAUCCCGCAGAGAGGCGGUUCCAGGUGCAGGUGGGCCACCUCCUCGCCCUGCAUGUCCUGUCCCCAGGCUGCUGCUCUGCAUGCUGCUGCUGGGGGCUGCCCUUUCCCUGGCCCACCCUGCCGAGGGGCUCGCUGCCAGGGUCUGGGGAGGCAGGAUCUGGUGCUACAGCUGCCGGGUGUCAAGGGCAGCGGGCUGUCCUGGUAAGCAAGGGCUGACAAAGGGGCUUGCAGCAGCAGGACCAGAGGUUGGUGAGGACGAGGCUGGGACCAGAAUGAACGCUCCUCACGCAUUCGUCUAUCAGAGUCACUGAAUCCCCUUGGCCUGCCCCAGGGCCAGCGCUGGUUGCUGGGGACAGAGAUGUGGACCAGCCCACCUGGGUCCCCUGCCUCCAGGGGGGCAAGCGGGGUAACUAAGACAUGCAUGUGCAAAUCCACAAAAGUGUAACCUCCUCCGAGAAGCCCUCCCUGACCCCCUUCCCUCCUCCCUGACUGAGGUGGCUGUUGCCCCAGUGAAGAGGGAAUCAGACUGCCUAGGUUCAAGCUCUGGCUCCGCCUCUUGCUGGCCGUAGGCCCAGGCGAGUCACUCCACCGCUGAGCCCCAGUUUCCUCAUCUGUAACAGAGGGGUAACAAGAUUACAUAUGUCGUAGACUUAUUGUGAGCGUUAAAGGAAAUCCACAGGAUGGCUCCUGGGAGGGAGGAAUGCUUUCAGCAGCCACAGACCGGCUUUCAGGAGAGGCACAGUGAGCAGAAACGGCUGGCCCGCAUUCUGGAAGAAAAGGUGGAGCUGGAAACAGAAGCCCCCAGGCUGACCCAGUGGGCAGGGAGCGGAUGUGAAGGACUAGGCCACCCAAGUCACCAGGACACAAUAAAUAGCUGCCCCCUCGUAAAGAGUAUAAAGAGUACCAGGUAACCCGAGACCUCUGGGGUAGAAUUUCUGGCAGGAUUCUGCCUCUAUAAAUAGGCCUGCCCUGUUCCCCAGAGAGGCAGGCGGGCAGGAGCUGCAGGGGCGGUGGGUGCCAGGCUGGACAAAGGCCCAGGAGGCUGGGGAGCAGGGGGCAUGGCUCGCUGCGGGCCCCUGGGGACAUCUGAUCCAGGCUGGGGCUGUGUCUGCAUCUGGGUGACCUCAGGGCCAAGUGGCUGUCCGUGAGAAUUCCCAGGUGAGUUUAUUUCUUAAAAGCAUGAAUUAGAGCUGGGGACCAUAGGAGGCAAACGGAGGCAACUUAGAGGGUUCCCACCCUCUGCCAAGAACUUGGGAGCACAUAGGACAUACAAGAUAAGGGCCGUUCUUGGGAGGGCUUUUUUCCUCCCAAAUUAUUUCCCCAAAUAAUUGACUGGGGAAACAGGGGAGAAAGGGAGGCAGAUCAGCCCAGACUUUCCCAGUCUUCCUCCGGCCAAGACCCCUGCCGGGACAGCGCCACCUUGUGUGUUUGCAGGUGGCUAGACGACAAGGGGCCCCAGCGCUUCCCUGGAGGGCUGGCCUGCGCCAUCGUUGGGGGCUCCCCCAGCCACUUGCCCUUCUCCUUCAGGAAUCUCAGGGCUUCCAGGGAUCCCUAACACAGCUCCUCCAGGUCCUGCAGGAUUCAGGUUAAAGGUCUUUGCUGAGAAGCCGCAGAGUGAACUUGAACUUUGCACCAUAUGGAGCGAGGAGGCUGCUGUUGGACUGUCUCCAGGGUCAUCAGAGAUGCUCGGGGUGACCACCUGGUCCAGGCAGGACCGCGGGGCCCAUCGAUAUUCAAGGGGCCGCCUCACCCAGGAAGUUACGCAUCCCCACAGUGGGACAGCCAGUGGUCAGCGACUGACCGACAAAGGAUACAAAAGAUCAGCUGCCAUGGCAAUUGUUCCAGGCUGAUGAUACUGUUCUGCAUCUUGACAGAAGAGCAUUUUGAAGCCCGAUGCCUCCAUAGGGACAUUUGGAGACAGAAAAGCAGGAGUGGAAGAGAAAGCCGAGCGCAGCGGAGGGAUGCUACAUAAAGGCAACGGUGACCAUGGACAGAGGGCUCCCUCCCGUGCCAGGCACGAUCUGUCACCCGGAGCUUCUCACCUAGUUUUGCAAUAACCACAUGGGGUGUGGUGUCACGUCCACUUCACAGCUUUUAAAAUAGAGCGGGGAGAAAGCAAACCAGUGGAGGACAACGACGUUGAGAACGGCCUGCGGAUGGCGGCUGGGCAGCGCCGGGUCUGAAGGUCAGGCUUCCCAACUUGAACAAGCUAAGAAGCCAGUGGGGUCACAUCUGCUCCUUUGUGGCCCAUAUUAUUAAAGCAGGACGAGAUGGGAUGACCACACCAGGUAACACGGUCCAAGUCUCAGGUAGCAGCCAGACGUGCCUGAACUCUCUACCCUGUCCGGCACCUGUGCUCCACUCCUCCAACAGCAAGAAGACACAAGGCUUAAAGCGUCUCAUAGCUCAGAAACCACUUCCCCCACUUUUGUCUUCUUCUUCUUUUUGGUGGUGUCCCUGAGCCCAUCUCUCAGCUCAUGCCCACUCUCUGGCACAGCCUUGGUCUUCUUAUUCUUGUUCUCGUUCUUCUUUUUUUUUUUUUGAUUUUUUUUUUUUUUUUGCUGAGGAAGAUUCUCCCUGAGCUAACAUCUGUGCCCAUCUUCCCCUAUUUUGCAUGUGGGUCACCGACACAGCACAGCCACUGAUGAGUAGUGUAGGUCCAGGCCCAGGAACCGAACCUGGGCUGCCGAAGUGGAGUGCACCAAACUCAGCCAGCAGGCCCCAGGCCCAGCCCCCUCUUCUUCUCCUUCUUAACUGGGGAGCCACUAGAGAGGCCUCCUCACGUUCACCCCCACUCCCUCACUUCCACUUUGGGGCAUUUACUGUUUCAGCAACCACCUCUCUGUCUGCAGAAUCGCUGAGAGAGGAGACGUGGCAGCAGGUCAGGUUCUCUGAGCGGCUCUCCAAGGAGGUACCACCGUCUCCUCAGUUCAUCUGUGCUCUCCGGCAAGUCCAAAGUCACCCUCAGAACACCGAGGCUGGACACAACUCCCCCGUGCGCCUGCGGGGCCACACCUUCUCAAGUCCCAUGAGCCCGAGCAGGAGGGGAUACUGUCUGCUUUGUCCUUUUUGUUGCAAUACAAUCUCACAGUCUCAGGGAAGAUGCAAGAAUUGUGCAAAAAAAGAACUCUCAUGUCCCCUUCCCCAGAUUCUCCCAUCAAUAACAUUUGCUUUCUCUCUCUCUCUAAACACAGAUAAAUAAAGAUGCAAGAUAGAAAGAGAGAGAGAGAGGUUUUUUCCCCUGCGCCGUCAUAGAUUAGGUCGCAGAAACCACACCUCUUCACUAAAUAUCUUUGCUUGAUAUCUCAGAGUAUUUCCUAAGAACAAGGACUUUGUCUUAUGUAAUCACAGCACAAUUUUCAAUAUCUGGAAAUGUAACGUGAACAUGGGACUACUACGGAACUCCCAGUUCACACUUACAUUUUGCCAAUUGUCCCCCCAGGCCGGGCUCAAAUCCAGGACCACGUUUUGCACUUACCUGCCAUGUCACUUUAGUCUCCUUUCACCUGCCUUUCUUUGUCUUUCAUGAUUCUAAGUUUUUUGGUAAGAGAACAGGCAGGUUAUUCAGAAUGUCCCAUAAUCUGCAUUUAUUUUACGGGUCCUCAGAAUUACAUUCGAGUUAUGCAUUUUUGUCAAGGAUACUACAGAAGGGAUGUAUAUUUGUUUCUUGUUGCUGCUGUAACAAAUGACUGCAAACUUACCGGCUUAGAAAAACACGAAUUUCUUAUUUUACAGUUUGGGAGGUCAGCCAUCUGACAUGGGUCUCACCGGUUAAAGUCAAAGUGUGACAGGGCUGCGUUCGUUCUGGAGGCUGUAGGGAGAAUCCAUUUCCUUGUCUUUCGGAGGUGCCCACAUACCUUGGCUGGUGGCCCCUUCCUCCAUCUUCAAAGUCAGCAUUGCAGCAUCUUAGAAUCUCUGACUCUUCUGCUAACCUCUUCUAUCUUUUAAGGAUCCUUCUUUUACAUUGGGCCCACCCAGAUAAUCCAGAAUAAUCUCCCUGUCUGAAGAUCCUUAAUUUAAUCUCAUCCGCAAAGACGUGAGAUAACAUCUUCACAGGUUCUGAGUAUCGGGGUGUGGACGUCUCUGGAGGGUCACUAUUCAUCACGUGAUGUUUGUCAUUCUUAGGGAUCACUUCAGGAGGCCUGUGAUGUCAGUCUGUCCCCGUUAUUGGUGACGGUAACUUUGAUAUUUGGUUCUGGCUGUAUUUGCAGGAUUAAUCCACUGUAAUCUAUUUUUACUUUUGUAAAAGUAUUUUUACUUUUGUAAUUUGUAAUUUUACAGUAAACGUGAGGAAGGAACUUUGAAACUGUGUAAAUAUCCUGUUCCUGGUCUCUACCAGAUCGAGCCUCCACUGAUGGCUCCUGCCUGAAUCGAUUAUUGCUGAGAAUCUUGCAAAAUGAUUCUGCAUUUCCACAUUACUUUCUACAGUUAUUACUUAGCAUUUUAUGUAAGGGAGAGCUUUGUCUCCUCCACUGCUUUAUUCAUUUCUUUCAUUGAUGGACUCAAGGAUUCCUUAUUCCAUGAACAUUCUGUUAUUAACGUUAUUUAUUUUGAUGUUCAAAUUGUCCCAGAUUUAGCCAGUGAAACCCCCUUCAAGCUGACUCCUGCAUGCUUUUAACAAGCCCCUGUCGUUUUUUGAAGACUUCCUUGUUUUCUGGCAUAAGAUGUUA
ensembl:lncRNA